CAUGUAGGCGGUUGGUUAAGUCAGUUGUUAAAUUUCCCAGCUCAACUGGGGACCGGCAAUUGAUACUGGCUGACUAGAGGGCAAGAGAGAGAAGUGGAAUUCUCGGAGUAGCGGUAAAAUGCAUAGAUCUCGAGAGGAACACCAGUUGCGAAGGCGGCUUCUUGGCUUGUCCCUGACGCUAUAGUGCGAAAGCGUGGGGAGCAAACAGGAUUAGAUACCCUGGUAGUCC
rnacentral:rRNA from 1 species